rnacentral:rRNA from 1 species
AAAUUGCAUUCUAGAUACACUUUCCAGUACAUCUACUAUGUUACGACUUAUCUUAUUUAUAAAUAAGAGUGACGGGCGAUAUGUACAUAUUUUAGAGCUAAAAUCAAAUUAUUAAUCUUUAUAAUUUUACUAUCAAAUCCAAUUUCAUAAAUAUAUUUCAAUAAUUAUUCCAUAUAAAUAAAUUUAUUGUAACCCAUUUUCACUUAACUAUUAGCUAAACCUUGAUCUGAUAUAUUUUAUAAUAUUAAUUAUUAAAAAUUUAAAUUUCUUUUAAAAUAUUUAUAACGACGGUAUAUAAACUUUACAAAAUUAAGUAAGGUCCAUCGUGGAUUAUCGAUUAAGAAACAGGUUCCUCUGAAUAGACUAAAAUACCGCCAAAUUUUUUUAAUUUCAAGAACAUAACUAAUACUACUAUAGUUUUAAUAUUUUAAUUUAUAAUAAUAGGGUAUCUAAUCCUAGUUUAUUUCUAAAUUUAUAAAUUCAAUAUUAUAUAUAUAUAUAUAUAUAUAUUAAUUUAAUUAAAAUUUCACCUAAUAAAUAAAUUAUAUAUAUAUAUAUAUAUAUAAAAAUAAAUUUUAUUUUUACCAAUCAAUUUUAUUUGUAUAAUUUGUUUAACCGCAAUUGCUGGCACAAAUUUUAUUUAUACUUAACAAUAUAACUAUUUCUAAAUUUCUUUAAUUUAAUAAUAUUAAUUACUGCAUAAUUUAUUAUUAUUAAAAUAUUUUCAAAAUUACUAAAAUUUACAUGUAAAAUUAAUUAUUAAUAAAACAAUAAACAUAAAUUAAACU